CGACGAGUUUGAUCCUGGCUCAGGAUGAACGCUAGCGGCAGGCUUAACACAUGCAAGUCGAGGGGUAUAGUUCUUCGGAACUAGAGACCGGCGCACGGGUGCGUAACGCGUAUGCAAUCUACCUUUUACAGAGGGAUAGCCCAGAGAAAUUUGGAUUAAUACCUCAUAGUGUGUGAGAAUCGCAUGGUUUUUCACAUUAAAGUUCCAACGGUAAAAGAUGAGCAUGCGUCCCAUUAGCUAGAUGGUAAGGUAACCGGCUUACCAUGGCGACGAUGGGUAGGGGUCCUGAGAGGGAGAUCCCCCCGACACUGGUACUGAGACACGGACCAGACUCCGUACGGGAGGCAGCAGUGAGGAAUAUUGGACAAUGGGGGCGCAAGCCUGAUCCCAGCCCAUCGCCGCGUGCAGGACUGACGGUCCUAU
rnacentral:rRNA from 1 species